AGAGUUUGGUGUAUUAGAGGAACUGCCAGUUGUUCAUACUGGCUGGGUAGGGCCUUACAUUUGAGGGGAGAAGGGUGAGAGAUUGGGUGGGGUGGAGGAGGACAUGAAGGCCUUUGGGUGCCAUGAUGGGAGGUGGUGGAAGGUUUUGACCUGUCCACUUUCCUGUUUCCUCCUUGAAGCUGAGGCAUAUGUCAGUGGGAUGCUCUUUUGCCUGGGUAUAUUUCUCUCCUUUUACCUGCUGACCGUCCUCCUGGCCUGCUGGGAGAACUGGAGGCAGAAGAAGAAGACCCUGCUGGUGGCCAUUGACCGAGCCUGCCCAGAAAGCGGUCACCCUCGAGUCCUGGCUGAUUCUUUUCCUGGCAGUUCCCCUUAUGAGGGUUACAACUAUGGCUCCUUUGAGAAUGUGUCUGGAUCUACUGAUGGUCUGGUUGACAGCGCUGGCACUGGGGACCUCUCUUAUGGUUACCAGGGCCGCUCCUUUGAACCUGUGGGUACUCGGCCCCGAGUGGACUCUAUGAGCUCUGUGGAGGAGGAUGACUACGACACAUUGACCGACAUCGAUUCCGACAAGAAUGUCAUUCGUACCAAGCAAUACCUCUAUGUGGCUGACCUGGCACGGAAGGACAAGCGUGUUCUGCGGAAAAAGUACCAGAUUUACUUCUGGAACAUUGCCACCAUUGCUGUCUUCUAUGCCCUUCCUGUGGUGCAGCUGGUGAUCACCUACCAGACGCGCCUUCAACAACAUCCUCAGCAACCUGGGGUACAUCCUGCUGGGGCUGCUUUUCCUGCUCAUCAUCCUGCAACGGGAGAUCAACCACAACCGGGCCCUGCUGCGCAACGACCUCUAUGCCCUGGAAUGUGGGAUCCCCAAACACUUUGGACUGUUCUACGCCAUGGGCACAGCCCUGAUGAUGGAGGGGCUGCUCAGUGCUUGCUAUCAUGUGUGCCCCAACUAUACCAAUUUCCAGUUUGACACAUCGUUCAUGUACAUGAUCGCCGGACUCUGCAUGCUGAAGCUCUACCAGAAGCGGCACCCGGACAUCAAUGCCAGUGCCUACAGUGCCUAUGCCUGCCUGGCCAUUGUCAUCUUCUUCUCUGUGCUGGGCGUGGUCUUUGGCAAAGGGAACACGGCGUUCUGGAUCGUCUUCUCCAUCAUUCACAUCAUCGCCACCCUGCUUCUCAGCACGCAGCUCUAUUACAUGGGCCGCUGGAAACUGGACUCAGGGAUCUUCCGCCGCAUCCUCCAUGUGCUCUACAC
rnacentral:sRNA from 1 species